UCGGGUUGUAAACUGCUUUUGUACGGAACGAAAAGCCNGGGGYUAAUANCCNNGGGUCAUGACGGUACCGUAAGAAUAAGCACCGGCUAACUACGUGCCAGCAGCCGCGGUAAUACGUAGGGUGCAAGCGUUAAUCGGAAUUACUGGGCGUAAAGCGUGCGCAGGCGGUUUUGUAAGACAGNGGUGAAAUCCCCGGGCUCAACCUGGGAACUGCCNUUGUGACUGCAAGGCUAGAGUGCGGCAGAGGGGGAUGGAAUUCCGCGUGUAGCAGUGAAAUGCGUAGAUAUGCGGAGGAACACCGAUGGCGAAGGCAAUCCCCUGGGCCUGCACUGACGCUCAUGCACGAAAGCGUGGGGAGCAAACAGGAUUAGAUACCCUGGUAGUCCACGCCCUAAACGAUGUCAACUGGUUGUUGGGUCUUAACUGACUCAGUAACGAAGCUAACGCGUGAAGUUGACCGCCUGGGGAGUACGGCCGCAAG
rnacentral:rRNA from 1 species